rnacentral:lncRNA from 1 species
AGUAACUGCACCUUGAGCAGAGCCAUUGAGGAGGAAGGAGUAUGAAACUGUGGUGAUACAUUGUAAAAUCCAGCUUAUCCAAGUUUGGUGAAACCCCAUCUCUUGCAUAACCAGUUUGAUAAAGUCCCACUCAAUUCUGUCAUAGGCUUUACUCAUGUUAGUUUUGACAGCCAUAAAGCAUCGUUUCUCUGCUCCUAAGGAUUUGAGGUAAUGAAGAGCUUCAUGUGUGAUUAGUACAUUGUCAUUACUCGCUCUUUUUGGAACAAAAGCUGACUGAUUUUCAGAAAUUAUCUCUUGCAGGAUUGGUUGCAGACGCCUAGACAGCAGCUUUGAAAUGAUUUUAUAGAAAACUGUGCAUAAAGCUAUAGGUCUGUAGUCUACCAUCCUUUUCAGGCUUUGGAUUUUAGGAAUCAGUGUGAUAUGUGUUUUGUUGAUUGUUGGCUGAAGGGUAGAUGAAGAAAAGAAGGAUUGGAUCUCCAAAACAAUGUUAGGACCCACAGUCAUCCAAUUUGAUUGGAAAAAACUCGCCGAAAACCCAUCCGGACCGGGUGCUUUGUCAGCAUGGAUAGAAAAACAAGCAGAUUUUAUUUCCUCUGCUGAAGGCAAUUAAAUCAGAGAACGAUUCUGUUCAGGAGAGAUGAAUGGUUUAAUGGCCUCUUUAAUGGUUGCAGCUCGAGCUCCUUCAUUUGCAGAGAAUAGCUUCUGAAAAUACUCGGAGAUAACAUUGAGGAUCCCUGCCUCUUCAUACUCAGGUACUCCAUCCUCCUUUUCUAUCACUGAGAACUUAUUUAUCACCGUUCUACCUCUAGUGAUGGCAUGGAAGUAACCCGAAUUUUUAUCUCCUAAGGCAAGCCAUAACUGUCUGCUUCUCUGCUUCCAAUACUCUUCCUCUGCCUUGUAUGCUAAGAGCAAAUUAGUAUUGAUAGUCGAUAACAGCUCUUGAUUGUGAUCUUGACUAGACAUUGCCUCUUCAAGUUUUUGACGAUUUUCCUCAAUAAGUUUUUGACUACUUUGCUGCUUAGCCCUAGACCACUUAACAAUUUCCAAACGACAUCUGCUAAUUUUUUCCUCCACAAUGUCUGUAUCAUAAAGAUUCCAGGCCUCUUGAACAAGGGCUGUGACUUCAUCGUUGUUUUUUAGACGCCUAUCGUAACGAAACACUCCUUUUUUCUUUUUCUUUGACAGGUCAAAGUGGGUAAGAAGUGGUCUGUGGUCUGACCCUUCAAAGCAAAGGUAAAUGCAUCUACUAGCAGGAUAAUCUUCAGCCCACGCUCCAUUGGACAAUGCACGAUCAAGCCUGCAAUGCACAACAUGAUCAUGUCUCUUUCCACGCCAAGAUAAGAAAUUCCCUGAAUGUCUUAAAUCAUACAAAUCACAUUCCGCCAUAAAUGAUCUAAUGUCCACAAAAGUUCCUUCAUAUCUUGCAGGUCCUCCUUGUUUUUCAGAAGAAUCUAUGAUAUAAUUGAAUUCUCAGUAAGAUACCAGGGUUCACUUCUAUCUUUCCCUAAACUGGUAAGCUGAUCCCAUAUAGCUUUCCGCUUUGAUCUGUCUGGUUCCCCAUAGAUGAAAGUAGCAAAGAAGUGUUUACCCGCCGCCUUAAUCUUUGUGUCAAUAAAGUUGUUGCAGGAAUAAAGGAUUGUCACUUCUACUUCAUGUUUCCAGAGAAGGGCCAGACCACCACCUCCUGGGCUAUGCGGGGGAACAAGGUGAUGUGCAGAAAAAUUCAUCCAGUUUAAAGAGGUGAGGGUUGUCUCAUUGGGGUUCUUGGUUUCCAUAAGGAACAGAAUUUCUGGUGAGAUUGAAGAAUGCAUCUCACGCAGCCGUUGUACUGUUGUGGGGCUCCCCAAUCCACAACAGUUCCAGCUCAGAACUUUUAAGGAAUCUGAUUUGGUAGAUGGUGAAAAUCCACCUUAUCUUUCACUCUUGCAGGUAUAAUAGUUACUCGUGGAGUAGGUUGACUUGAGGAAGGGUUGGAGGCUCCAGGUUGGAGGAGAAGCUUUUGCUUUGUUUUCGUGGUUCUGCUAGGGCCAGCAGAUUCUUGUAUGUGAGCUUCAUUCUUCUCAGGUGUGGAUUUCCUUUUAGGGGAGUUCUGGAUAAGUCCCUUUCUUUUGCUUGAUUUUGCUCCCAGCAAUGGUAAAGCAGCUUUGUUUUGGGGUUUAGCUAAAGGUGGACGUCCUCUUUUCUUUUUUGCAGGAGCAACACAGCUUGUAGUCUGAUCAGCCGGAUGACUUUGUAGGUCUUGGUACUGAGAGAGAUUAUCUUGUGUUGGAAGAUCUUCAGAGGCAAGGUAAUUUUGGUUUGAGAUGAGUGCAGCUUCCAGCAUUAUAGAAGCUGUUUCUGCCAUGAGUCCUUUUUCUUCUCCUUGAAAAACUCUUCGUUUUCUUGCAGCGCUUUCAGUUGGGUGUGCACAACUAACAUAUUGCAGAGUGACGUCUCUAAGCUCUCCCAUGAUUUGGUCAUUAGUAGGGAUGGGAGGAGGAGGUGGUGGAGUAACCUCAUAAGAAUCCAGGUUUCUCUCCAACGGGGGACGUCUUGUUCUCGAAGUUUCAGAGCUAUCAUUUCUAGGACUGAGUCUAUGUGUGGCUCUAACCCUCCAUUGAGGAGUCUGAGAAGAAUCUCUUCUUGGCCCCUCUCUAAUAGGAUCCUGAUAUCUUGAGGUACCCCUUUUGUCUCCUGUCUCAUGGCGACCUAAAUUCCUUCUGUUAGGGUUAAAAGGAUUUCUGUGUCUUCUCUCCUCAUAGGGUCCAGCUCGGCGAGAUAGAUGUUCUCUAGAAGUUGAGGUCUACUCCUCUUACUUUUCCAAGAUCUUGAGAACGACUUUGAUUAAUAGAAGGGUUUCUUGAAG